rnacentral:lncRNA from 1 species
GAUGGGAAAAACCGGAGAGAAGAAGCACCCCAGGGUGGAUCCACUGCUGUUCUGGGCCCGGCGACACCAGGUGGUUUUUAUAAUUGGGGAAAACUUCCGAAGUCUGGAGCGGCACAGCUGUUAGCAGACUGCAGCCGGGGCAGCCGCCGGGCGCUCCUGGCUCCGCCCCUCCCUGCUGUCCCUGGAGGCCUGGGCGCUCCUGGCUCCGCCCCUCCCUGCUGUCCCUGGAGGCCUGGGCGCUCCUGGCUCCGCCCCUCCCUGCUGUCCCUGGAGGCCUGGGCGCUCCUGGCCUCUGCUUGUGCCCUGGUCAGCAGGACUGCGCCGCCGCCGUGGCAUCCCAAGCCCAACGCUCAGCACGGGUGACAAACACCCACUCCUCUGGUUGUGGCUCUGCUGGGACCAGGCUGUGACGCUCUUAUCUCAACUUCCUGGGUCCAGUGGCCUCCCAGGGCCGAGCGAGCAGAGCAGGUGGGGCCUCUUCAGGUCUGUGCUCAGAACACCGCUUGCUUCUGCCGCAUUCAACGGGCCAGAGUCACACGGCCAAGUGCACCCGGAUGCCCCCCCACCCCCAGGUAAAGGGCUUGGAUGUGUGGGGUCUCCAACAGAGAGGGGGGAACAAGGAUCCCAUCCACCCCAGAGCCCACCACCUGUGCUGACUCCAGCCUGGCAUAGUCCACGCCCACUCCCUGCUUCUCCCCGAAGCCCAGCUCUGACAACUCCGCUGGGACAGAACCCCUGGGGGGGCCCCGCCCCCACGCCUGGACCCUGCCUGUGGGGCUCAGGCCCCGGCCCCGGGCCCUGGCCUUCCUUUUCCUCUUCACUUCGCUCCCCACCUCUGCCCCCUCCGCCCGGCCACCCAUUCCGUCUCCCAGUGCGUCCCCCAGCCGGCCGCUCCUCUCUGGUUCCACCUCCGCCUCCCCCAGGGCAGCUGCAGCCUCCUCCACCCCCAGACGCCCACAGAGCGCAGCCCCGACACAGCGGCCAGACAGACUCGCACCCGGGCUUCCCUGUGCCUGGCGGGCCUCCCACGGUGGGCUCGGUCUUGUCCUUCAAAUCCAUCCCACCUCCUCAGCGACNNNNNNNNNNNNNNNN